rnacentral:rRNA from 1 species
UGGGGAAUUUUCUGCAAUGGGCGAAAGCCUGACAGAGCAAUACCGCGUGAGGGAUUGAAAGCCUACGGGUUGUAAACCUCUUUUCUCGAGGAAGAAAAAAUGACGGUACUCGAGGAAUAAGCAUCGGCUAACUCCGUGCCAGCAGCCGCGGUAAUACGGGGGAUGCAAGCGUUAUCCGGAAUUACUGGGCGUAAAGCGUCUGCAGGUGGAUUUUUAAGUCCUUUGUUAAAGCCUGAGGCUCAACCUCAGAAAAGCAAAGGAAACUAAUAAUCUUGAGGAUGGUAGAGGUAAAGGGAAUUUCCAGUGGAGCGGUGAAAUGCGUAGAUAUUGGAAAGAACGCCGAAGGCGAAAGCACUUUACUGGGCCAUUUCUGACACUCAGAGACGAAAGCUAGGGGAGC